rnacentral:rRNA from 1 species
AUUGAACGCUGGCGGCAGGCCUAACACAUGCAAGUCGAGCGGAUGAAGGGAGCUUGCUCCUGGAUUCAGCGGCGGACGGGUGAGUAAUGCCUAGGAAUCUGCCUGGUAGUGGGGGAUAACGUCCGGAAACGGGCGCUAAUACCGCAUACGUCCUGAGGGAGAAAGUGGGGGAUCUUCGGACCUCACGCUAUCUGAUGAGCCUAGGUCGGAUUAGCUAGUUGGUGGGGUAAAGGCCUACCAAGGCGACGAUCCGUAACUGGUCUGAGAGGAUGGUCAGUCACACUGGAACUGAGACACGGUCCAGACUCCUACGGGAGGCAGCAGUGGGGAAUAUUGGACAAUGGGGGAGAGCCUGAUCCAGCCAUGCCGCGUGUGUGAAGAAGGUCUUCGGAUUGUAAAGCCCUUUAAGUUGGGAGGAAGGGCAGUAAGUUAAUACCUAGCUGUUUUGACGUUACCAGCAGAAUAAGCACCGGCUAACUUCGUG